ACAUGUGUCACCAUGGCAACAACGCUGUAUUUCAACGGUAACGGAAUGCUCAAACGAAUGAAAUGAUUGUUUGAAAUCCAUUCCUUCACUUAAACUUGUCUAAGUCACACUGUUUGGUGAAUAGACAAAAGUAAUUUAUUUAGAAAUGCUAGUUGAAAGCCUAGAUUUGUUUUAGCCCUACAGUUUUAUCCAUUGUAUAAUCUUUUCGUUAUGAAACACUCCAGGACAUAUAAAAAAAUAGAGGGUUCAUUAUAAUCAUUUUCGUCUAAUGUUACUUCCAUGCUGACAAUUUCUCAAUUGUCUGUGAUUUAAGAAACCGUGUUUAGAAUUUCAGCUAAAAUUUCGGCCAACUUAAUAGGAAUAAAUAUAUCAUUUUUAGUGCCUUUCUGAAAAUAAUCCUGGGCUUAUCACAAAAAGUCGAACAAUAUAUUUAAAAUAUUCUACCGGAAGUCUAAUUUAUAUUCUAAACCACAAGCUUUCAACUUGAUUGAGUACCAUCCACAGGCAUAUCUCCUGAUAUACUGGUAUAGAAGAAGAUAAAGAACAACCAAAGAGGGAAAAUAUCAAAAUGUUUUACGAAUUAUUAAUGGUCAUGACAAUAGCCUGCUGCUUUACAUUUUUAAUAUAUUUUUGUGAUCUUUAUCCACAGCCGCCGCAACUGUUCAGAUUUCCUUUUUGACCUGACUAAAACCGCAAACUACAAAUGACAACGAUGGUUUCUCUCAAACUUCAAUUUACUAUACAAGAAAAGAACACGGUUUCUCAUACAGCUGGAAUUUAUACAAGCUUGUAGCAUAUACCCAAAUAUCUUUGGAGCAGUACUGAAUACCAACAUUGAACAUACAAUGGAAAGCGAAAUGAAUGUAGCCGCUUCAAAAAGGAAUCAACACAAUCAUGUAAAUUACAUCCAACAUUUAACUAUUACAUAUUGAAUGUUGUAAAAAAAUAAUAAAAAUAUAACCUAAAA